AUCCUGAGUAACGUAGCUAACGCGUGAAGUCAGCCGCCUGGGGAGUACGGUCGCAAGAUUAAAACUCAAAGGAAUUGACGGGGACCCGCACAAGCGGUGGAUGAUGUGGAUUAAUUCGAUGCAACGCGAAAAACCUUACCUACCCUUGACAUGUCACUAACGAAGUAGAGAUACAUUAGGUGCUCGUAAGAGAAAGUGAACACAGGUGCUGCAUGGCUGUCGUCAGCUCGUGUCGUGAGAUGUUGGGUUAAGUCCCGCAACGAGCGCAACCCUUGUCUUUAGUUGCUACGCAAGAGCACUCUAAAGAGACUGCCGGUGACAAACCGGAGGAAGGUGGGGAUGACGUCAAGUCCUCAUGGCCCUUAUGGGUAGGGCUUCACACGUCAUACAAUGGUGCAUACAGAGGGUUGCCAACCCGCGAGGGGGAGCUAAUCUCAGAAAAUGCAUCGUAGUCCGGAUCGUAGUCUGCAACUCGACUACGUGAAGCUGGAAUCGCUAGUAAUCGCGGAUCAGAAUGUCGCGGUGAAUACGUUCCCGGGUCUUGUACACACCGCCCGUCAUACCAUGGGAGUGGGUUUUGCCAGAAGCCGUUAGCCUAAC
rnacentral:rRNA from 1 species